GAAAAGAUGCAACCAAUUAGAAACAGAUCCAAUUACAAUGGAUCUGUAUAACAGAGAACUAGAUGGUCUAACUAUGAAUUCAUAUGGACUAUCCCAAUAUCUCAGUACCAAGCUAUGCAGCACGGAUACGGAUACGCGUAUCGGUAUCGGAAGGAUACGGAUACGCAGAUACGGCAAUUUCUUAAACAACCCGAUACGCGGAUACGUUUUAACUAUUUUUUUAAUAAAUAAAUAACAAUGCAUAUUAAAUUGCAAAAUAGAUGUUCAAAUUCAACAUAGAGACAUUUAAGGUCUAUUACACUGAGAAUAACAUGAUAGCAGGUUCUAAUUUAGGAGAGGAUGGGAGCCUGGGACUGCAAUCAAUCAAUAUAAACUCAUAUCCAGAUUCUGGAGAUUGGCCAAUUAUCAUCACGUUACCUCCUACUUGCAAUCUAUAUGCUACUAUUCUCCAAGCAAUUGUAUUUGAACCAGUUAAGUAUUGAAAAGAAAGGAUAAUCAACAACUGUGCAAUAGCCAACAUUAUAAAGAUCACACUGCCCCUGAACUUAAUCCACCAUCCAUGCUUGCAUGGGCCCUUAUUCUGUAGACUAUGGAUUAUACUUCCAAAUCGCCUGGAUACACUACACAGAAAAUGUAAAUCUCUAUGCACUUUACGGAUGUUAUGCUACCAUUACUGGGAGGAACUCACGGUUCACGGGAGGCCUGCACUACCACUAUCAGAGGAAGUCAGGCACCUGAACAGGGGCUGGGGCUCCUUACGCCGGAGGCCGACGGGAGUAAUCACGGGCGGACGGAGGCCGACGGGAGGCAGCCUGCGGCCGGCGGGAGGCGGCCUCGCGGCCCGUGGCCGCAGGAGGCGGACGGCGGCUGGCAGGAGGCGGCCUCACGGACGGCGGCCAGCGGACGGCGGCCGACGAGAGGCGGAGGCGCUGCGUCAGCCGUCAGGUCGAGCGGGAGAAUGCGGCGAUGCGCUGCGUGAGGCGGCUGCGCGUGGGAGAGCCGACGCCCGACGGGUCACGGGAGUAGGGCAGGAGGUGGGAUGUGCUGUGAUGUUGGGCCGGCUGGGCCGAAUCCAGGCGCGGAAACGUUUUCGAUCCGAAGUUUUCGGCCUAUUUAAUCGGGGAUACGUGGAUACGCCACGGAUAUGUAUCCGAGGCGUAUCCGUAUCGGAUACGUAUCCGAUACGGGAUACGGUCCCCAGGUGGAGUAUCCGUGUUUCGUAGGUACCAAGUGCCAACCACGGAACCACCGCACAGUCUCAGACAAAGCACACCAGGCAAACAAUCAGCACGAUAAGCAAGUUAUCAUGUGUGAGUGAAUAGUAAAGACCAAAACUAAUGAAACCAUCCAUCACACACAUCGAUGGCAUUUCAUUGCAAUCCGAAACUAAAAUUCAAAAGUAUAGUUCUACUGAAUCUACCCGCGCCCAAUUGGAACUACCACUAAACAAAUACCGGUUACCUGGUUACCUCACUUGCUUUGUUUUUACAGGAACAAGACAAACCCCAUUCUCUCUUCGACGACACAUUCCAAGCAUCAUAUAGUGCACAUGGUCAAUAGUACAAGCACACUCGUAGAUUGUAAGCAAUGCAAAUCACGACAAUUUUCUCAGAUACACAUCGGUAGCAAAUUAUAGCAAAAAAAUGACAGAAAC
rnacentral:lncRNA from 1 species